rnacentral:rRNA from 1 species
UACAGAGGUCCCGAGCGUUGUUCGGAUUCACUGGGCGUAAAGGGUGCGUAGGUGGCCUGAAAAGUUUGAUGUGAAAGCUCAGGGCUUAACCCUGAAAUGGCAUUGAAUACUGUCGGGCUGGAGGUUUGGAGGGGGACUGGAAUUCUUGGUGUAGCAGUGAAAUGCGUAGAUAUCAAGAGGAACACCAGUGGCGAAGGCGAGUCCCUGGACAACACCUGACACUGAGGCACGAAAGCUAGGGGAGCAAACAGG